UACGGAGGAGGCACGCGUUAUCCGGAAUUAUUGGGCGUAAAGCGUCCGUAGGUGGUUGGCCAAGUCUGCUGUCAAAGGGCGGGGCUUAACCUCAUAAAGGCAGUGGAAACUGGCGAGCUCGAGUGCGGUAGGGGUAGGGGGAAUUCCCAGUGUAGCGGUGAAAUGCGUAGAGAUUGGGAAGAACAUCGGUGGCGAAAGCGCCCUGCUGAGCCUGCACUGACACUGAGGGACGAAAGCUAGGGGAGCGAAAGGG
rnacentral:rRNA from 1 species